rnacentral:lncRNA from 1 species
UAAACAAAAGCAGACACACCUUAUAUAAAGUCACCUUGCAUAUCAGUUCUAAAAACUUCAGUUAAAAAUUCUAUAGACCAAGUGUCUUAGAGAUCAGUUCCAAGGACUUAUGAGACCGUUCCUAAGACUGGACAGGACUAGACCGAAUAAAUAAGAGCUUAGACAAUACUGGCCACGACUACUCCUUGGUGGUGCCCUUGACUCCAAAACCAAAUUAAAUACGCAAAAUUGUAAUCACUGCAUAAAGUACCUAUUUCUCUAUUUAGCUAAUAUGGAGGCAAAAAGAAUUUUGGAAAAACAAAAUUUGGCGGACUUUUGUGACUUAUCAUUUCAUACGAUCAUAUUUUAUACAUUUGGAUAUCUAUUUUUAUUUCAAAUAUUACAAUUUUACUAAAUUUCAA